rnacentral:rRNA from 1 species
AGUGAACGCUGGCGGUAGGCCUAACACAUGCAAGUCGAACGGCAGCACAGUAAGAGCUUGCUCUUACGGGUGGCGAGUGGCGGAAGGGUGAGGAAUACAUCGGAAUCUACUUUUUCGUGGGGGAUAACGUAGGGAAACUUACGCUAAUACAGCAUACGACCUACGGGUGAAAGCAGGGGAUAUUCGGACCUUGCGCGAAUGAAUGAGCCGAUGUCGUAUUAGCUAGUUGGCGGGGUAAAGGCCCACCAAGGCGACGAUCCGUAGCUGGUCUGAGAGGAUGAUCAGCCACACUGGAACGGAGACACGGUCCAGACUCCUACGGGAGGCAGCAGUGGGGAAUAUUGGACAAUGGGCGCAAGCCUGAUCCAGCCAUACCGCGUGUGUGAAGAAGGCCUUCGGGUUGUAAAGCCCUUUUGUUGGGAAAGAAAAGCAUCAGGUUGAUACCCCGCUGUUCUGACGGUACCCAAAGAAUAAGCACCGGCUAACUUCGUG